rnacentral:rRNA from 1 species
GAUGAACGCUGGCGGCGUGCCUAAUACAUGCAAGUCGAGCGAACAAAUGAGGAGCUUGCUCCUCUGACGUUAGCGGCGGACGGGUGAGUAACACGUGGAUAACCUACCUAUAAGACUGGGAUAACUUCGGGAAACCGGAGCUAAUACCGGAUAAUAUAUUGAACCGCAUGGUUCAAUAGUGAAAGACGGUUUUGCUGUCACUUAUAGAUGGAUCCGCGCCGCAUUAGCUAGUUGGUAAGGUAACGGCUUACCAAGGCAACGAUGCGUAGCCGACCUGAGAGGGUGAUCGGCCACACUGGAACUGAGACACGGUCCAGACUCCUACGGGAGGCAGCAGUAGGAAUCUUCCGCAAUGGGCGAAAGCCUGACGGAGCAACGCCGCGUGAGUGAUGAAGGUCUUCGGAUCGUAAAACUCUGUUAUUAGGGAAGAACAAAUGUGUAAGUAACUAUGCACGUCUUGACGGUACCUAAUCAGAAAGCCACGGCUAACUACGUG